rnacentral:rRNA from 1 species
CCUACGGGAGGCAGCAGUGGGGGAUAUUGCACAAUGGAGGAAACUCUGAUGCAGCAACGCCGCGUGAGGGAAGAAGGUUUUCGGAUUGUAAACCUCUGUCCCCGGUGACGAUAAUGACGGUAGCCGAGGAGGAAGCUCCGGCUAACUACGUGCCAGCAGCCGCGGUAAU